UUCUUUGCACAUGUCCAAACCACCGUAACCGAUUUUCUUUCAGUUUUCCUUCAAUUUCGGCUACUCCUACUUUACCUCGGAUAUCCUCAUUCCUAAUCUUAUCCUUUCUCGUGUGCCCACACAUCCAACGAAGCAUCCUCAUCUCCGCUACACCCAUUUUGUGUACGUGUUGGUGCUUCACCGCCCAACAUUCUGUGCCAUACAGCAUCGCCGGCCUUAUUGCCGUCCUAUAAAAUUUUCCCUUAAGCUUCAGUGGCAUACGACGAUCACACAACACGCCGGAUGCACUCUUCCACUUCAUCCAUCCAGCUUGUAUUCUAUGGUUGAAAUCUCCAU
rnacentral:lncRNA from 1 species